rnacentral:lncRNA from 1 species
AAACAAACAACAACAACAAAAACCAAACACAAUUGGCAUCUCCAGCUUACCUUAAAGACAGUUACUUGGGUGCCUUCCCAUAGGCCCAGCAGUGUGUAGCCCUAGUAACACAGCUAGAGAACCAUGUCUCAUUCUGAAGGACCAGGUGGGAUUAUCAGGCUGAUCAAGGGUAGCCAAGCAUUCAGAGGAGCUGGAAGGUCUUUAGAUGAAAAUAUGAUAGUAUUUUUUGUAAAGUUGGGGGGUUGCAAGACAGGAUUUCCUUGUAUAGUCCUGGCCGUUCUGGACUUAUCUCUGUAGACCAGGCUGGCUUCAAACUUAUAGAGAUCUGUGUUGCCUCUUCCUUCCUAAGUGCUGGGACGAAAGGUGUGCACCACCUCUGCCUCGUACUCUGUCAGCUCUUUAUAACAUCUAGGCAAGCAUCAACCACAGGUUGAUUUUAAGUCUCAUACUGGAAAAUCAGAUAAGAUUUCACAAUCACCAGCCAUCUCUCUGGCUAAGGGCUUUGAUUGCUUCAGUAGACAGUCUAUGUGAGCCUUUCCCAAUGGUGUACCCAAGGCCCUUGAGAAGUUUGCCUCCCAGACACCAAUGGCCUUGUCUCCCCGGCCCAUUUCUUUUCUGUGUGCUUUGGAGAACUGGGGUGGGGAUUAAGUAUCUAAAAGCCCUCCCGUUGUAAAUAGACUGUCACAUGGGCACUGCAGUCUCCACCUUCUAGAUUAUUAGAAUUUUUUCUUUCUCGUCUACCCUUGUUUUUGGUACACAGGCCAUUCCAGGAAAAAAAAUGAGGUCAACAUGCCAGAUAAGUUGACAAGUAUUGUUCAGAGUCUGGAAAGAAGAAGCCUAUUUAUCUUGCCUGCUGCCCCCUGCCUCCUACCCUGCUUCCCCCCCCCCCAUACACAUAGGGCUUCAUGUAGUCCAUCCUCGCCUGUGAACUAGGGAUCAACUUGAACUUCUUGUUCUGUCUGUCCCUACCUCCUGAGUGCUGGGACUACAUGGAUAUCACUAUGCUUUACCAUGCCCAGUUUAUGAGCUCUAAGAAUUAAGCCUAAGUCUUCAUGUCUACGCAGGCAUUCCGUCCGCCCAGCUCCAUCUCAGGCUCAUGCAUUUCUCAUGCACAUCCGUGUUUGGAGACCAAUUUGAAUAGAACACUUUUUGUGCCAGGAAGUGGCAGACAAGUGCUCAUCCCAGGUCACUCAAACCAGAGGAACAAUGACUGGAGAAGUUAAGCAGGGUGGAGCACACCUCCCAGGAGACAGUCCCCUUCUAGGCUUGCAGAAUUCAGUGCAGAGGGGAGGAGGCUACCCUGAUUAGAGAGUUAGUGUGGGAGCCUAGUCUCUAGCUGCCUCUGCCUCUGCCUCUGCCUCUUGCUUUGGUCAAUGAGUAGAAGCUACCGGUUAGAGCUCCUUGUUGUCAGGUCCCAAGCAAAACUGCUUGCAACCACUUAGCACUCAGUGGCCUUCUGGGAGUCCGGGUUCACCCCUGGAUGCUGGUAAGAGUUCUUUGUGGUGAGAAUGUAUAUGCUGUUAUUUUCUUACUUACCCACUUAACAAUCCACUUCCCCCUGCUGCUUCCCCUCUCCCCAGUUAACAAGGCUCCUACUAGCAGUCACCAUUGCCUUCCCUGGGUCAAGUGGAUAAUGAGGGAGCUGGCUGCCUGGCUUCCUCUUCAAACUAGGGUGUUUACCUUGGGAGGUAGCAGAGGUUCAAUACAUAGACUCAGAGGCAGCCUUGAGUGAGGAGGAAUCAACACUAGGUCAGGAGACAGAACACCAAGUUGAAAGCACACUGU